UACGUAGGAGGCAAGCGUUGUCCGGAUUUACUGGGUGUAAAGGGUGCUCAGGUGGUUUGGUAAGUCAGGGGUGAAAUCCCGGAGCUCAACUCCGGAACUGCCUUUGAUACUACUAGGCUUGAGUAUGGAAGAGGCUGAUGGAAUUUCUGGUGUAGCAGUGAAAUGCGUAGAUAUCAGGAAGAACACCAGUGGCGAAGGCGGUCAGCUGGUCCAUUACUGACACUAAAGCACGAAAGCGUGGGGAG
rnacentral:rRNA from 1 species